rnacentral:rRNA from 1 species
GUGAAAUUGUUGAAAGGGAAGCGCUUGCAACCAGACCUGCCUGCAGUUGCUCAUCCGGGCUUUUGCCCGGUGCACUCUUCUGCUGUCAGGCCAGCAUCGGUUCGGGCGGUCGGAUAAAGGCUUCGGGAAUGUAGCUCCUCUCGAGGAGUGUUAUAGCCCGUUGCGAAAUGCGGCCAGCCUGAACUGAGGUCCGCGCUUCGGCUAGGAUGCUGGCGUAAUGGUUGUAAGCGGCCCGUCUUGAAACACGGACCAAGGAGUCUAACAUCUGUGCGAGUGUUUGGGUGUCAAACCCGUACGCGUAAUGAAAGUGAACGGAGGCGGGAACCCCUCGGGGUGCACCGUCGACCGAUCCUGAUGUCUUCGGAUGGAUUUGAGUAAGAGCAUAGCUGUUGGGACCCGAAAGAUGGUGAACUAUGCCUGAAUAGGGUGAAGCCAGAGGAAACUCUGGUGGAGGCUCGCAGCGGUUCCGACGUGCAAAUCGAUCGUCAAAUUUGGGCAUAGGGGCGAAAGACUAAUCGAACUAUCUAGUAGCUGGUUCCUGCCGAAGUUUCCCUCAGGAUAGCAGUAACGUUUUCAGUUUUAUGAGGGAGAGCGAAUGAUUAGAGGCCUGGGGGUUGAAACAACCUUCACCUAUUCUC